ACCCCUCCUCCAGUGCUCUCUCCUGCUGACAGGGAGAUGACCUCAGGACUGGAGGUGUGCAAUUGCCACUUCACUCGGCAAGACCGGUCCAAGGGGACACAGGGGACCAAAGCUGCAGCAAUCAGACUGUGUCCCAACAUCAUGCACACUGGAGCUUCCUUCCUCCCUCGGUCCUGGCUGUUGAGCGGUGAGUCUGUAAGUUCCCGGCAGCUGUGCUCUAAGAAGAAACUGGGAGUUCAUUAAGAAGCAGGAAAGUGAGCUGGAGAGAAUGCCGUCAAUGUUGUCUCCACCUGAAGUGAAUUUCAACAUUACCACAGCUCCUUCCUGGGAUAUUGAGUCCAGGACCCGUUAUGAUGCAAAAUAGAAUUAUGGGGCCUCUUGUUCAAAAGCAGGAAACACGUGUCAUUACAGUGCUGAUACUGGACCGCAGAAGACAGCACUUUGCAUGGAACACAGAACUGACACCCUCCUCCACACAGGAUGAAUGAGUUCAGCAAACGCUCAGCAAACAUUAACUAGUUUUAUUAAAGCAUCCAAUCUCCUUUAACAGGAGAAGCGCCCUGCCCACUGGAUGAUAGCCAGAUCUUCCAAAGUGGUUUGGCCACAUUUGCACUAGAGCCUGUUCAAGAUAAUCUACUGAGUUUACAGGAAGAAAGUAGUAGAAUUUACUUAUUUCUUUUUACAUUUCUGUUUAUCUUAUCCUUUCUUAUUGUUUAUGUUUUUUCCUAAAGCUUGGAUUUCCAUUUCAAUUCUUCCAUAGUGUUUUAUUCAAAUUUCAUAUUUGAAAGCCUUAUUAUGGAUUACCAUAAAUAAAUGAAAGUUAAUACUUGAA